AGCUUUGUGCAGUGGCAGUCUUGUAGCCAAUGAGGUUUAUCCAAAGUGCAAUUAUUGCUAAUUCAAAACUUUUUCCAACACCCCAUGGUGAAGACUUGCAUCAGCAUUGGCGAUUUUCAGUCUCUGUGGAGA
rnacentral:snRNA from 1 species